rnacentral:rRNA from 1 species
GUCUACGGCCAUACCACCCUGAAUGGCCCGAACUCGUCUGAUCUCGGAAGCUAAGCAGGGUCAGGCCUGGUUAGUACUUGGAUGGGAGAAAAGACAAAACAGAUCCUAAGUU